CACACGGUAAUACCGAGGGUGCGAGCGUUAAUCGGAUUUACUGGGCGUAAAGCGUGCGUAGGCGGCUUUUUAAGUCGGAUGUGAAAUCCCUGAGCUUAACUUAGGAAUUGCAUUCGAUACUGGGAAGCUAGAGUAUGGGAGAGGAUGGUAGAAUUCCAGGUGUAGCGGUGAAAUGCGUAGAGAUCUGGAGGAAUACCGAUGGCGAAGGCAGCCAUCUGGCCUAAUACUGACGCUGAGGUACGAAAGCAUGGGGAGCAAACAGGAUUAGAUACCCCGGUAGUCCCUGUCUCUUAUACACAUU
rnacentral:rRNA from 1 species